rnacentral:rRNA from 1 species
UACAGAGGGUGCAAGCGUUGUUCGGAAUUAUUGGGCGUAAAGCGCGUGUAGGCGGCUUGUUAAGUCGGGUGUGAAAGCCCUCAGCUCAACUGAGGAAGUGCGCCCGAAACUGGCGAGCUUGAGUGCCGGAGAGGAUGGCGGAAUGCCCCAAGUAGAGGUGAAAUUCGUAGAUAUGGGGCGGAACACCGGUGGCGAAGGCGGCCAUCUGGACAGUUCCUGACGCUGAGGCACGAAGGCCAGGGGAGCAAACGGG